GACAGAGGGUGCAAACGUUGUUCGGAAUUACUGGGCGUAAAGCGCGUGUAGGCGGCUUCGCAAGUCGGGUGUGAAAUCCCACGGCUCAACCGUGGAAGUGCAUUCGAAACUGCAAAGCUAGAGUCCUGGAGAGGAAGGUGGAAUGCUUGGUGUGAGAGGUGAAAUUCGUAGAUAUCAAGCGGAACACCGGUGGCGAAGGCGAACCUUCUGGACAGUGACUGACGCUGAGACGCGAAAGCGUGGGAGCAACAGGG
rnacentral:rRNA from 1 species